UUAAAUUGAAGAGUUUGAUCAUGGCUCAGAUUGAACGCUGGCGGCAGGCCUAACACAUGCAAGUCGAACGGUAACAGGAAGUAGCUUGCUGCUUUGCUGACGAGUGGCGGACGGGUGAGUAAUGUCUGGGAA
rnacentral:rRNA from 1 species